UACGGAGGGUGCGAGCGUUGUCCGGAAUUACUGGGCGUAAAGCGCACGUAGGCGGCUUCUUAAGUCGGUGGUGAAAUCCUGGAGCUCAACUCCAGAACUGCCUUCGAUACUGGGAAGCUCGAGUCCGGGAGAGGUGAGUGGAACUGCGAGUGUAGAGGUGAAAUUCGUAGAUAUUCGCAAGAACACCAGUGGCGAAGGCGGCUCACUGGCCCGGUACUGACGCUGAGGUGCGAAAGCGUGGGGAGCAAACAGA
rnacentral:rRNA from 1 species